rnacentral:rRNA from 1 species
UGGGGAAUUUUGGACAAUGGGCGCAAGCCUGAUCCAGCAAUGCCGCGUGCAGGAUGAAGGCCUUCGGGUUGUAAACUGCUUUUGUACGGAGCGAAAAGGUCUGCCCUAAUACGGUGGGCUCAUGACGGUACCGUAAGAAUAAGCACCGGCUAACUACGUGCCAGCAGCCGCGGUAAUACGUAGGGUGCAAGCGUUAAUCGGAAUUACUGGGCGUAAAGCGCGCGCAGGCGGUUAUGCAAGACAGAGGUGAAAUCCCCGGGCUCAACCUGGGAACUGCCUUUGUGACUGCAAGGCUUGAGUGCGGCAGAGGGGGAUGGAAUUCCGCGUGUAGCAGUGAAAUGCGUAGAUAUGCGGAGGAACACCGAUGGCGAAGGCAAUCCCCUGGGCCUGCACUGACGCUCAUGCACGAAAGCGUGGGGAGCAAACA